CACACCGCCCGUCACGCCAUGGAAGUUGGGAGCGCCCGAUAUCCCGUGUCCUAACCCGCAAGGGAGGGAGCGGUCUAAGGCGAGCUCGAUGACUGGGGCG
rnacentral:rRNA from 1 species